CCACUAACAUUACAUAGCUGAUUUCAUUAAAUAAAACAAAUAUAUUAAUCUUCGGACUUCCGUUUUAGUUUAUUUUCGUUAUAAUAUUUUUCAUAAAUUAAUUUCAAAACCAUUUUGAAUGUUUCAGAAUACUACUGUAAAUAUAUUAUUUUCUUUAUAAUUUUUGUUCAUUGUUUUUUAUUGACGUAACUUUAUUUUUAAUUAUUUGUAAUAUAAAAAUAUUGUAUUUAGGAUGCAACUGAAACAACUUCGGCUGGGGGGAAUACCACGGAGACCGAGGCUGGUUCUACUUUAUUGGUAUGUUUUCUUAUCAUUUAUAUAAUGUUUAUUAAUGUAUAUAUUACCUAUAUGUGUGACUGUAAAAUAUCGAACUGCGGUAAAUCCUACCAUUAACAAAAUCCUAAUGUUGAAUGUUCAAAAACGUAUUAAGUUAGGUUGAAUGAAGUAAAAACUUAACAAUAACUCAUUAUUUAAUUUACAAAACCAAUAUCAGCUGGCAGCAGGAAAACCAAGCAUUUACUGAAUUCGAAUUGCUAACAAACCGACAAAAUCUUCCUAUUUUCAACAUGUACAAACUCGUAAUCUUAAAACUAAGUUUUAGUAGAAAAUAAAAGAAAUAUCUCGAAAGUCUUAGGUCUCAUUAUACUGGAAACAUCUUAAGACUUGCCGUACUUCGAGUAUUUACAGUAACAUAUAUACUGUAUAGUCACUUAUCAGAUUCAACAGCAGUUGUAUUAUGAGUGAAAAGUUUAACUUUGAAAACUACAUAAAAAAUAAUACAAUAUUCCCAUCAAAAGGAUAAUAGUUUUAUGAAAAAUUUCAGCUUACCGUGAGUAUAAAUGUUAAUAUAUAUAUUUUUUAAACGAAAAAAACAUAAAUCGAAAUUAAUUUUGUGAACUUAAAUAUUGCAAAUUUUAAGCUAAACUUUUUUAAUUUACGUCGAAAGUUUUUUAUGAAAUCUAAAAUUUACAGAUGGAGGUAAAUAUAUACAUAUAUAUAUAUUUAAAUAUGUUUAUAUAAAUGAGCAUAUUAUACUUAGUACUAAAUAUAACGCUUCAUCAUUUCAGACGGGCGCCGUAAGUAUUAUACACGUAGAGUAUAAACUGAAAUUUAAAUAUUUUUAUUCAACCUACUCAUGUUUUGACAGGAGGCAGUAAGUUUGUAUUUUGUUCGUUUGAUUAUUAUUAUUAUACCGUAAAAAGUAUUUUAAAACAUUAACGUAACGACUGAAGAUGACGAAAGAAACGCUAUAUAUAUAUUUUUAUUUGUAUCCGAGUCACAAUCUGAAUAUUUAAAUAUAAUGCUAGCUAUAUGGGCAAAGAUUUCGAUUAGGGGAUGAAAAUGUUUGAAGCAAUAUUCUUAGAGAAUUCUAACCCCUGAAUUUUAUUACAUUUCGAAUGGAAUAUAGGUAUUGGUUUUGGUGAAUAGCAAACAAUAAUAAAUCUAAAUAUCUUAACCUAAUCUGGUUAGAUAAAAAUUGACUAAACUUAACUUAAAAAAAAGUCCUGUUACCUAAGAAAAAGUCCUAUACUAGAUUAGAAUUAAGAAAAUGAUCGAGCGAUAGAAGAAGUUAGAAAUAGGAGUAGAAGUAGUAGUAGAAGUUAAUGGAAACAUCAACAAAUGCAAAGGAUAGAAUUGUUAUACUGGAUAGAAAAGACAGAAAAAGGAAAGAGGAGACAAGAGAGCCUGUAAAAUAUACAGACUGGUUUGUGGAAGAGGUAAAAAAAAUAACGACAUCCUCUCCGACGAUUUGAAAACUCACAACGAUGAGGACUUGCUACAUAAAAUACGGUCGAGAAAUAGGGAGGUGUUGGCGGCUCUGGAGCCCUUAUCGAAGGAUAGUCUGAAACCCUGACAAGUGCUAGGUGGAACUCAGUAGUAUUGACAUUUGGCUUUACCUGGUCUUGAUAUACGGAGGCUGCCAAUUGAUCUGGAUCCCGUUAGGUUCCCAGACCAGUCAAUCUUGUUGCAGGUACUCCCUGAGCCUCGGAUAUAGGUAUAGCAAUAAAUUCAGAGAGCAGAGCAGAGCAGAUUUAUUUUGCCAUUGCCAAUGAGAGAGGUUCAUCUAUUCAGAACAUAGAGAGUCCCGCGAGGAUAAGAUGGGAUAGUUCAGCCAGGGUUGUACCGGUGCUAAUGCCCUUCUCACAGAUAUAGGCCCAUAGUCGUGUACCCUACGACAAUAAAUCCUAUUUAGAACUGAGUAGCACUAGACAUAAGGGUCUUUACAAAUGUCAAAACCAAGAAAUCAACAUUCAGCAUCUCAAGAUAUAGAUUAGAAAAACUGAUAUCUAACAGAGACAACUAACUAAAACAAAUUACUUACCAAAUUGCCUACAGGAAGUUGUAUGUGAUGCUAUUUUAUAAUGACACAAUGCGCAAGGAAAAAGAUUAGUCGAGAAACAUUUCCCGAGCCGUGGUGGUCCAAACAGCUCAUAAAAUAAAAAGGGAAUUCGUGAGUCAUAGUUUCGGUUCAAAGGGAUUGUGCAGUAGAAGUAAUGUAACAUAAGUAGAACAACAGGAGAACUGUAAGAGAAGAUACGGAGGGGAGAAGUUGAAGGUUGAAAAGGUUUGGCUAGCAACAGGCCUGGGAGGGAGUACGGAAACUAGAAGAUCAGAAAAAAAUAGUGAUGAAGAGGAGGAAAAAGGACACAAAGAGUAUCAUUAUAAGGAUGACCUUUUGUGAUUGAGGAUACAAAUGACCUUUACGAUUAAUCCUGAGACGGAUCUGGAUCGAAUCGUCGAAGAUUGCGAUAAGUACUAUCGAUAGAUGAACGUAUAGAUAUUUAUUGACAUUUUUCUCCCCCAAUCGUAAUGGCAGUUGUUAGAUGUAUUUACAUAUAGUUGUCUAGUAUGUGUAUGUUAGUGUAUAUAUUGUUGUUGUUGGAUUUAAAUGAACUAAUUAUAUUUUUAAAUUCACUGACAGCCCGAGGUAAGUUUGAUGAGUACAAGAAAAAUUAUGAAUGCAUGCAAAAUAAUUAAAUAAUAAUAAAAACUUCGUUUUCAGAAUGUCGUAAGUAUUUUUUUUUGCUACAGCCAUAUUGAAUUUCUUCUUUUAUAUUAUAUUUUAUUUUAUUGUUAUUUCAAAAUCCCUCUUUUUCAGUUCACGGUGAGUUGGAAAAAACUACAAGUUUUUUUUUGUUUAGUAAAUAUUAUCUUUUUAAAAUAAUAGAAUUCAAGGAGAAAACGGCUUUGCUGUUACAAUUCCUAAACAUUCGUAUGUUUUUGGAUUUCAUACGAUAUUUAAACGAAUAAUUAUUUGAAAGGGAUAACAGAGAGAGGGAACUAAACGUUAAUAUUAUACAUUUGAAAAUAAUGCCACUGAAACAAAUUUUUGGAGAAAUAUUAUAUAUAUUUCUCCAAAAAUUAUAUAUAUAUAACAUUUUUUUUGUGAUAAUAAUAAAUUAUCUCUAUUUAAAGGAUAAAUACGUAAGUGUUUGAAAAGUUCCUUGUAAUAAUAAAGAAUUAUUAAUUAAAUUAUAAAUUUAUAAGAAUUCAUUAUACUGAUAUUAUUUUAAAUUAUCUUUUUUACAUGAAAAACCA